rnacentral:rRNA from 1 species
GAAUAUUGGACAAUGGGGGCAACCCUGAUCCAGCCAUGCCGCGUGUGUGAAGAAGGCCUGCGGGUUGUAAAGCACUUUCAGUUGGGAAGAAACAGCAGCCGGCUAAUAUCCGGUUGUCUUGACGUAACCAACAGAAGAAGCACCGGCCAACUCCGUGCCAGUACCCGCGGUAAUACGGAGGGUGCGAGCGUUAAUCGGAAUUACUGGGCGUAAAGCGUACGUAGGCGGUUAGAUAAGUCGGAUGUGAAAGCCCCGGGCUCAACCUGGGAAUUGCAUUCGAUACUGUCUGGCUUGAAUGUGGAAGAGGGAAGUGGAAUUCCAGGUGUAGCGGUGAAAUGCGUAGAUAUCUGGAGGAACAUCAGUGGCGAAGGCGACUUCCUGGUCCAACAUUGACGCUGAGGUACGAAAGCGUGGGGAGCAAACAGG